UACGGAGGGGGCUAGCGUUGUUCGGAAUUACUGGGCGUAAAGUGCACGUAGGCGGCUUUGUAAGUUAGAGGUGAAAGCCCGGGGCUCAACCCCGGAAUUGCCUUUAAGACUGCAUCGCUUGAACGUCGGAGAGGUGAGUGGAAUUCCGAGUGUAGAGGUGAAAUUCGUAGAUAUUCGGAAGAACACCAGUGGCGAAGGCGGCUCACUGGACGACUGUUGACGCUGAGGUGCGAAAGCGUGGGGAGCAAACAGG
rnacentral:rRNA from 1 species